rnacentral:lncRNA from 1 species
AUAACUGAAAGUUUUGUAUCGGUACAAGUUUCAUUAAUUACUGAGUUCAGACUGUGGAUAUACUUUUCAGAGCUGUGUCAUCGGCGCUUUAGAAACAAAGACUGUGGUUCUAGUCACUCAUCAAGUCGAGUUUCUUGCAGAAGUUGAUACAAUCCUGGUAGAGCAGCUUAUAAAAUACGCUCCUGCUUCUGCAAUAAUGUUUUUUAUAUAUCAGAAAUGAAAAUCUAAUACUUGCUUUACCAGGUAAUGGAAGGUGGACAAGUUACACAAUUAGGAAGCUACGAGGAUCUAUUGUCAUCUGGGACUGCAUUUGAACAGCUUGUGAAUGCACACAAAAAUUCGAUGACUCUAUUGGAUCCUGCAAAUAAUGGAGACUCGGGAGGACCUGACAAGGUGAAUGCUGAUAAAUCAAAUGAGUCUAAUCAGUUAUAUCCCAUAACAGAAAACAGUGAGGGGGGGAGUUCAGCCAAGGGUAUGACAGGGGUCCAAUUAACGGAAGCUGAAGAGAUGGAAUGUGGAGACGUUGGAUGGAAGCCUUUCAUUGAUUACAUUAAUGUCUCAAAGGGAUUCAAUUUUCUUAGUUUGUCUAUACUUGCUCAGUGUGCUUUUGUCGCGUGUCAGGUUGCAUCAUCCUACUGGCUAGCAAUAGCCAACCAAAUUUCCCAAAUCAGUAAUGGAACUUUGAUUGGUGUAUAUGCAGGAAUUUCAGCUUUUAGUGCACUCUUUGUAUAUCUAAGAUCUUACUUUGCAGCCGUUCUAGGACUGAAGGCUUCAAAGGCCUUCUUUACUAGUUUCAUUAACUCGGUAUUCAGAGCUCCCAUGCUUUUCUUUGACUCAACUCCAAUAGGGAGGAUUUUAACCAGGGUGAGUCUCUAGCCCCUUAACAUUUGAUUCUGAAUCAAACUUCAUGUCAGUAAUCAUGGCCAUGUAGAUAAUUGCUUAUUUUCUUUAUUUCUCUCAACUUUUUAUAGGCAUCGUCAGACAUGUGUGUGGUGGACUCUGACAUACCUUACGCCAGUAACUUUGUUAUUGCUGGUAUAAUCGAGACCAUAUCAACCAUAGCUGUAAUGGCCUCAGUUACUUGGCCAGUCCUCAUUGUGGGUUUUCUGACUAUGUUAUCUGCAAAAUAUGUUCAGGUACAUAGAUUUCAAUGUCGAUCAUAUCUUCAUAGACAGUAAAACAUGAGUAUUAAUUCUGAAUUUAUAAGAUAUUAAUUUUCUCAUCACAAGGAUUACUAUCUAGCAUCUGCAAGGGAGUUAGUAAGGAUUAAUGGAACCACCAAAGCUCCAGUCAUGAACCAUGCAGCAGAGACAUCAUCUGGUGUGGCAACAAUAAGAGCGUUUUCUAUGACAGACAGGUUCUUCAAAAACUACCUAAAGCUUGUUGACUCUGAUGCUUCACUUUUCUUUCAUUCCAACGCUGCCAUGGAGUGGUUAGUUAUAAGAGUGGAAGCACUUCAGAAUCUCACCUUAUUCUCGGCUGCUUUCAUCCUUGUUUUGCUUCCUCAGGGGACUAUUGCUCCAGGUAGGUUAGCUUUGCCUAUUCAAUUUCCUACUUUACAUUUCCUAUUUCUAACAUAUUCAUAUAUUAUAGGUCUCGUGGGGCUUUCUCUAUCCUAUUCUCUUUCACUGACUGCUGCCCAAGUGUUUAUGACUCGAUGGUACUGCAGCUUGGCUAAUUACAUUAUCUCUAUUGAACGAAUAAAUCAAUUCAUGCAUAUAUCACCGGAGCCUCCAGCAGUAGUGGAUGACAAGAGGCCACCAGCUUCAUGGCCUUCACAGGGAAGGAUAGAUUUCCAAAAUCUUAAGGUAAAUUUGCAGAUAAAAUCAUUUAAAAUCAAGUAUAUCAGAUACCGGAAACUAUCUGAAAUUCAUUUACAAAAUAUAUCAUGUUAACUUUACUAGAAGUAUAAAAGAUGAAUUAUACUAGAAGUAGAAUAUUAGGGUGGAAAGCUAUAUAUCUCAAUGUGAGACAUAACUUGUAUAUAUAAUGAAAGAAGUGUGUUAGACAAGUCACUACUACUAGUAGUGUGUUAGACAAGUCACUACUAUUACAAUAACUUCCAACACUCCCCCUCAAGCUGAACAUUCAGACUCUGAAUUUCAGCUUGAAAUACAAAAAAAGUUCUCUCACAUCCCCCACAAAGCAUCAUGAGAACGACAUCGGGCAGGAUGUUCAAUGGCAGGGAUGACCAGCUGCGAGAAGAACCGUCUGCAGGGAUGUCCAGCUGCAGAGACAAUAAAGGAGCAGGGAUUACCAGCUGCUCAACCGAGAAAGACAUCGGAGGUAGUGGUGAUGAUUGUUAGAGCCAUGUUCGUUUCGGUGAACAAUACUUGAUGAACAAUAGCGUGAACAGUACUCGUGAACAGUACUCGGGAAAAAAAAACCAGCAACACACAAGGCGCAGAAAAACAGCGGAAACAAGAACACAAAUUAGACAAAAAGACUUUGUCGGAGAUCCGGCCACCGGCACCUGAGUUAGUGUCGCCGGUGGCCGAAAACCAUGAUCUCACUUGGCUUUGAUACCAACUAGAAGUAUAAAAGAUGAAUUAUACUAGAAGUAGAAUAUUAGGGUGGAAAGCUAUAUAUCUCAAUGUGAGAAAUAACUUGUAUAUAUAAUGAAAGAAGUGUGUUAAACAAGUCACUACUACUAGUAGUGUGUUAGACAAGUCACUACUAGUAAUGUGUUAGACAAGUCACUACUAUUACAAUAACUUACAAUUACAAUAACUUCCAACAACUUUUAAGCAUUUGUAACGAUAUCACGAUUUGUCAUUUGUGGCCUAUAUCCAAACCUUGAACACUGACGUAUCUAAAUCUAUCUGCUUGUUUCAGAUCAGAUAUCGUCCAAAUGCUCCUUUAGUCCUUAAAGGAAUCACUUGCACUUUCAAAGAAGGGACUAGAGUGGGAGUGGUAGGAAGGACAGGAAGUGGAAAGACAACACUAAUUAGUGCACUUUUCCGUCUGGUAGAACCUGAAAGUGGAAAGAUUCUAAUUGAUGAACUGGAUAUUUGCUCAUUGGGUCCAAGGGACUUGAGAUUGAAACUCAGUAUCAUUCCUCAAGAACCAACUCUUUUCAGGGGCACAGUUCGAACUAACUUGGAUCCUUUAGGUCUAUACUCUGACCAACAAAUAUGGGAGGUACGCAACUAGUUUAAUUCUCAAUUUUACAGCAAUGAGCAGCUAUCUUAUUGUCAUUAUCUAUCCAAACAACAUUCUUAAAAAGGUUCACAGCAUAUACUGUAUUUCAAUUUAGUGAAGAAGUUACGUUAGACUUCUAACGUUAUAUCAUAAUUAUUCAUUGUAGGCAAUAGAGAAGUGCCAACUAAAGGCUAACAUCCGCAGUCUUCCAAACCUUCUUGAUUCCUCUGGUGAGUCGAACUCUUGAAUCCAGUAUAAUAUUUUUAUAUAAAAUAUAAGAAAACUCUAAAAGAAACCUUUUCUGAACUUUUUGGUCGGUCCAACAGUAAGUGAUGAUGGUGACAAUUGGAGUGUCGGUCAGCGCCAACUAUUCUGCCUAGGACGUGUUCUCCUCAAAAGAAACAAAAUUCUUGUUCUUGAUGAAGCAACUGCAUCUAUUGACUCUGCAACAGAUGCUAUAUUACAAAGAGUCAUCAGAAAGGAGUUCUCGAACUGCACUGUAAUAACUGUAGCUCACAGAGUACCAACAGUUAUUGACAGUGAUAUGGUCAUGGUUCUUUCUUAUGGUAUCAGAUCUCUCCCCUCCUAAUUCAUUUUAAGAAUGAUUGUGAUAUCAGGAUGAGAAAUAAAGACACACCUAUAUUAUUAUACAACAUAUAUAUAUACUUGUAUAGGGUAAUAUCUUUAUGAAACGUCAGUUUCAGGACCCUCUCAUAGAACUGUAUAAAGAAGAGUCAAUGGAUUAUUUGGUAGAGAACAUAAUUUGGUCAUUAGUCAUCACUGAAAUCAUUAUCAUCUGACUACUACAUUCUCAACUGUUUAGCCUUCCCUAAUCCUAAGCAUUAAGUUGACCAAAAUAUUCUGACAAAGCCAUUAGAAAAGAAAAAAAAAAAAAAAGUUUUGAACUAUAACCUGUUGUAAGCGAUCGGCACUUGCUUAUCCUUGUGUUGAAUGUCUUCCAUUUUCCUGUUCUUGACAUCUUGUUAACUUUUCAGGGAAUCUGGUGGAAUAUGACGAACCUUGCAGACUUAUGGAGAUCAAUUCUUCCUUUUCAAAGCUGGUGGCUGAGUACUGGUCUAGCAGCAGGAGGAGUUCCCACUAAUUCUGAAAAUGUAACAAUAUAGAGAAAAUGAAAUGACUUAUAAGAAGUAUUUGUAUGUUGAUUGUUGAGAGACUAAAAGGGUAGAAAACAAAUUUAACAAAACUAAUCUAAUAUCAUUAAUGUAGUGUAAGUUUGAAGGUAUGUGUUACGUAAAGUGAGUAGCUCCACAUUUCUCCUAAAAGAAGGGUUGUGGUUUGAAAACUUGAACUUUUAAACCCAAUAUUUCUGACAAAAAGGCAAACGUUCUUAUUUAUUAGUACGAUAUGGUUGAGACUGGAGGAUUUUUCUUUUCGUUUUAUAUAUGGUUUAUUCAUUUGUAAUCUAUUAGAUUUUCUGCCAAUAAUGGAGUGAAUGCAAAUUACACAAGUCCCCUGCUUUCUAUCCAUAUACAAAUGACCUCCAGAUGACCAGAUAUAUGCAAGGACACAAGGAGAUCAGCAUAUUCCGUGCAGAAGUCGUCUCGCAUGUUGUGCAAAACAUGCUUUUAAGAAUAAUUUCAUUCACUUUAAUCGUGUUUGUGUGUAUCAUACGAUCCUUAAAUUUCUUUUGUUAAUUAGUUUAAAACAGAAAUGAGAUCAGCUUCUGGACUCUGGAUUAAUCUCUUAGUUGACAAUCAAUAAAGUAUACUUUCCUGGAACCAUUGACCUAAACUAAAUAAUCUAUAUAACAACCUGUCAACUUAUAUGAAAAUAGGCCAACAAGAUUCUUCUUUCUUGUCCAGAAAACCUUAUAUGUGGUUUUAUCACAAUUAGAAGAUAAUGAUAAUUUUGAAUUCAGUAUCCAAGACAAGCAAUUUAAAUUCUUUAGUCGAUCUCACGUUGUGGGAAAAAUUUCAGUAACUAUAUGAGCGGCAAAAUCACAGUUUACAUGCAUUAGUUAUAUACCUAUAAAUGCAAAAAAAAGGAAUGCAGAACGAAAUUGCAAUUCUUAUCUUCAAUUGAUGUCCCCUCCCCUCUUCAAAGAGCAUUUAACAUGUCACUCCAAUUAUAAAUUAUAUAUAUGUGACAAUCACUGUCUAAACACAAAAUAAAUAAAUGUAUACACAAAAUAUAUUUAUGUAUCUAGCAAUCAAUUUCUAAUAAACAAACAAAGUUUUUGAAAUAUAAUAGAUAGAUAAGCAUAGUAUUGUAAAACUAUAUUUCCCUGAGAAUAUUAGAUAAGCAUAGUAUUUCACUGGAACUUAAAAGUUUCAGCCAGAUGAUAUCUAUCCCAUUUUCCAUGAAUCGACGUGUGUUCAUCCUAACUAUGUUCUUCUUGUUCUUCCAUGUGGAAACACAACAAGCACCACCACCACCAGAUGACAGUGACUAUGCAUCUGGAACCACAAUCCAUCAAAGCUUGGUCAUCCUCAUUGGCAUGAUCACCUUCAUGUGCUUCCUAACAUUCUUUCUUUUGGUCUACCCAAAGUUGUGUCCAAGAAAUCGCGAGAAUGUUCAGCACGAUGAGCCGAUUCAAACCCUAUCAUCUAAUGCUAGGACCUCUGGAAUCGACAAGUCCAUAAUUGAUUCACUCCCAUCCUUCACAUUUUCUUCUCUCAAAGGAUCAAAGGAAGGACUUGAAUGUGUUGUAUGUUUAUCAAAAUUCAUAGAUACAGAGGUUCUUCGGUUACUUCCCAAGUGCAAACAUGCCUUCCAUGUUAGCUGUGUUGACAAAUGGCUUGAGAACCACUCUAGCUGUCCUCUUUGUCGACAAAAGGUGGAGGCUGAAGAUGUCACAAUGUUCAAGUUAUCUUCUAGUUGGAGAUUUCCGCAAAGUCCUUCAAACCUUCUCCAUGAAUCAAAUUUGGAACUAUUUGUCCAGAGGGAGGAAGAUGAAUUAGGCUCCUCCUCAAGGUUUAGCGUGGGAAGCAGCUUUAGGAAAACCGAUGAGGAUAAAGAAAAAAGCUCAAUAUUUCAGGAAGGUGAAAAUAACAUUCAGGACAAUAAGAAAGUUAUGCAUAAGUUCAAGCACAAGAUCAUAGUUUCUGAUGUUGUCUUCAAGAAUCGGUGGAGUGAUGUGAAUUCAUCAGAUAUAAUUUCUUUGAAUUCAGAUAUGCUUAGUUCCACAGCAAGCAAUAAAUUUUCUUCCUUCCGUACUGACAGCGAGCACUACUCAUCAACUAUGCUUGAAAACACAUCUUCUUCUAGUGACAAGAAAAAAAUGAAAAUGAAGGAAGAGAUGGAUUGGAAAAGAGAGUUUGAAAACAAAAGCUUUUCGGUUUCAGGUUCAGGUCCUUCUUCUCCUACAAAUGUCAACCAGAAUUCUUCAAGACUAAUCCGGAUUCCAUCUCAAGUAGAGAGGUCCAUGUCAGAUAUAACAAGUAUCUCAAGGUCUUCAGACCUUGGUGUGAAAAAUAGAAUUGAAAAAUCAUUCUCAUCUGGAAAUAAUGUCGUAGAAGAGAGAAUGCGAGUUUGGUUACCAAUUGCAAGACAAACAGUUGAAUGGUUUGCUAGCAAAGCAAAGCUAUCUCAUAAUUCAAAAAGGCAAGAUUCCUCAAUGGUAUAGUAGUAAUCCAUUUUUUAUUACUCAGGUAAUGUGAUAAACUAUUAUAGAAAAACCAGCAUUUUACUUUGUAAAUUUUGUUAUUAAAGCGUGUAAGUUGCGAUAAUACUGAGUUCCUUCAAUCUCAUCUCAUUCCUUGAAUUACCACUCAAUAUCUAACAUAUAUAUUGUUCAAGUUGAUCAUCACAAAAUAUCUUUUAUACUAUAAACCACAUAAAUUAUCAAAUUUAAACUAAUUUUCUUAAUGAAUCACAAUAUCAUGAUUUUCAAUUUCUUAUUUCCAAUAAAUUUCUUUGCAGUUUCUAAUGAAUAAUAAUACCAUUUGAGAAAAUUUGAAAAAAACACAGCGAAGGUUUACACUUUACAUACCACUAUUCCCUAUUUCCCUGGCUGGCAAU